rnacentral:ncRNA from 1 species
UGGUCGGCCCUGUAAUGGGGUCGCCAAGAGGGAAUCACGUGCAAAUCGUGAGCUGUCGCGCAACUGUAAUUCACCAGCGACGGGCCGAUGACAUGCCAUUGGGGGCGCAGCCCCUGAGAAGGUGUCGGCCAAGAGGUGAUAAGUCAGGAGACCUGCCUCGGAUGA